AUUGAACGCUGGCGGCAGGCCUAACACAUGCAAGUCGAGCGGAUGAAGGGAGCUUGCUCCUGGAUUCAGCGGCGGACGGGUGAGUAAUGCCUAGGAAUCUGCCUGGUAGUGGGGGAUAACGUCCGGAAACGGGCGCUAAUACCGCAUACGUCCUGAGGGAGAAAGUGGGGGAUCUUCGGACCUCACGCUAUCAGAUGAGCCUAGGUCGGAUUAGCUAGUUGGUGGGGUAAAGGCCUACCAAGGCGACGAUCCGUAACUGGUCUGAGAGGAUGAUCAGUCACACUGGAACUGAGACACGGUCCAGACUCCUACGGGAGGCAGCAGUGGGGAAUAUUGGACAAUGGGCGAAAGCCUGAUCCAGCCAUGCCGCGUGUGUGAAGAAGGUCUUCGGAUUGUAAAGCACUUUAAGUUGGGAGGAAGGGCAGUAAGUUAAUACCUUGCUGUUUUGACGUUACCAACAGAAUAAGCACCGGCGAACUUCG
rnacentral:rRNA from 1 species